AUUGAACGCUGGCGGCAGGCCUAACACAUGCAAGUCGAACGAGUGGCGGACGGGUGAGUAAUGUCUGGGAAACUGCCAGAUGGAGGGGGAUAACUACUGGAAACGGUAGCUAAUACCGCAUACCAUCGGAUGAUCCCAGAUGGGAUUAGCUAGUGGGUGGGGUAACGGCUCACCAAGGCGACGAUCCCUAGCUGGUCUGAGAGGAUGACCGGCAACACGGGAACUGGGACAGGGUCCAGACUCCUCCGGGGGGCAGCAGUGGGAAAUUUUGGAAAAGGGGGGCAAGCCGGAUGCAGCCAUGCCGCGGGGAUGAAGAAGGCCUUCGGGUUGUAAAGUACUUUCAGCGGGGAGGCGUUACUCGCAGAAGAAGCACCGGCUAACUCCGUGCCAGCAGCCGCGGUAAUUC
rnacentral:rRNA from 1 species